UCAUCCAGGGAUAUCUUGAUUGAUACUCUGGAUUAUAGAGUACUGAUCACUCACUCACUUAAUCAAAAUAAAAUAAGUUUUAAAAUUGAAAACUGUGUGGGGUCCAAGACUUUUUUUUUGAGUGAAAUGUUUUGUGCUGCAAUGUGAAUCUCAGCAAAUAGUUUUUUGAG